rnacentral:rRNA from 1 species
AUUGAACGCUGGCGGCAUGCCUUACACAUGCAAGUCAAACGGUAACGCGGGGCAACCUGGCGACGAGUGGCGAACGGGUGAGUAAUGCAUCGGAACGUGCCUGGUAGUGGGGGAUAACUGCUCGAAAGAGCAGCUAAUACCGCAUACGACCUGAGGGUGAAAGGGGGGGAGCGCAAGACCUCUCGCUAUCAGAGCGGCCGAUGUCGGAUUAGCUAGUUGGUGGGGUAAAGGCCCACCAAGGCAACGAUCCGUAGCUGGUCUGAGAGGACGACCAGCCACACUGGGACUGAGACACGGCCCAGACUCCUACGGGAGGCAGCAGUGGGGAAUUUUGGACAAUGGACGCAAGUCUGAUCCAGCCAUGCCGCGUGCGGGAAGAAGGCCUUCGGGUUGUAAACCGCUUUUGUCAGGGAAGAAAUCUUCUGGGCUAAUACCCUGGGAGGAUGACGGUACCUGAAGAAUAAGCACCGGCUAACUACGUGCCAGCAGCCGCGGUAACAC